UUGACCUCGGAUCAGGUAGGAAUACCCGCUGAACUUAAGCAUAUCAAAAGGGCCGGAGGAAGGG
rnacentral:rRNA from 1 species